rnacentral:rRNA from 1 species
UAAAAACCCCGACUUCGGAAGGGGUGUAUUUAUUAGAUACAAAACCAAUGCCCUUCGGGGCUCUUUGGUGAUUCAUGAUAACUAUACGAAUCGCACGGCCUUGCGCCGGCGAUGGUUCAUUCAAAUUUCUUCCCUAUCAACUUUCGAUGUUUGGGUAUUGGCCAAACAUGGUUGCAACGGGUAACGGAGGGUUAGGGCUCGACCCCGGAGAAGGAGCCUGAGAAACGGCUACUACAUCCAAGGAAGGCAGCAGGCGCGCAAAUUACCCAAUCCCGACUCGGGGAGGUAGUGACAAUAAAUACUGAUACAGGGCCCUUUCGGGCCUUGUAAUUGGAAUGAGUACAAUUUAAAUCCCUUAACGAGGGACAAUUGGAGGGCAAGUCUGGUGCCAGCAGCCGCGGUAAUUCCAGCUCCAAUAGCGUAUAUUAAAGUUGUUGUGGUUAAAAAGCUCGUAGUUGAACCUUGGGCCUGGCUGGCCGGUCCGCCUCACCGCGUGCACUGGUCCGGCCGGGCCUUUCCCUCUGUGGAACCCCAUACCCUUCACUGGGCGUGGCGGGGAAACAGGACAUUUACUUU